AUCAGAAUCAUGUCUCAGUUAAACACGGGCUGUUCUACUUACAGGGUAACACCUGAAACUAAUAAUAAAGCCGCAUGACUCUAUCAAACCCCUCUUGCCGUGCACCGAUUACUAAUACUGUCCGGGUCACUCUCUUUAUUGAAGACGAAUCACAAUUCAUUGUAGACAAGGGUCCUCCAGCGACGAUUCAAACAUCUCAAGGAACUUAAAAUCUUCCAGCUUUCAAGAUUUCUGCUGAAAUGAACUAUUUUUGGUUAAAUCAGAGGGAUGGCCGCAUUUGAAGUUGAGGCACAGCUAGUGAAAAUAUGAACUAUUCCCCCCUCAUUCUAAUUUCUGCUCCCUGAGUUCUAAUACCCGCUGUACUGUCUAAUAUUGGAAGUGAUCCGAGAGAAACCCCAUUCCCUUGGAGUUCAACACGGUUGCUGCAGAUUUAGAAUGGAGACCGUUCCGGACAAGUUGCAGGAUCAGCUAUGAAAACCAGAGAGGCCAACGAAGUCUUGGAGGAUGUAGGAGGCAGCGGUGUCAAAAGGCUUGGUGUUACCUGGCUUGCUGAGAAUUUCUCAAGCUUGCAGCUCAAACUGCUUCACUUGCUUUGUCACUCUGCUAUUAAGUCGUGCCACCAAAACAAAAACAUCUUCAGUCUGAGCUGUUUUAUCCACUGGCAGUGUGGCUCUGAUGGACUAUCGAAGCUCCCUAACCCCUUUUACUAUACUAGAUUGACACUUUUACAUUAAGAGCAGACAAUCUCCUGUAAAUUAUGAGCUUAUCUCCGAUCCUUUUGAUCAUCAACCAGAAAUCAGCUACAUUGCAGAUGGACUCUUCUCCCACUUUCACACUGGGCUGCACACGUCUGGGCCAAAUCUUCAUCCGUGGAGACUCUGUGAUGACAACUAAUUCCUUGCAGAAAAAUGUGGUGCAACUUUCCUGACAUCCAGAAGACCUUCAGAACAUAAGGAAUAGGAGCAGAAGUGGGCCAUUCAGUCCAUCAAAGUCUGCUCUGCCAUUCAAUGAGAUCAUGGCUGAUCUGAUGAUCCUCAAAAUGCACUUUUCUGCCUUGUCCCCACAACCCUUGAAUGCUGUUACUGAUUAAAAAAGCUGUCUCUCUCAGCUUUGAGUAUACAUAAUGACUUGCCUCGAUAGCUCUCUGUGGUAAACAAUUCCACAGAUUCACCACUCUCUCAGAGAAGAAAAUUCCUCCUCAUCUGUAUUUUAAGCAUGCAACCUCUCAUUCUGAUGUCCCUGUCCUCAUCCAAAAUAUUGGGCACUGCCACCUGAGUUUAGUACCCAAUGGGAACUUAUUUACCUUCUGCCAGCUUUGUUGUGCUGUACAUGUAC